rnacentral:misc_RNA from 1 species
GAUGAAGAACGUAGCGAAAUGCGAUAAGUAGUGUGAAUUGCAGAAUUCAGUGAAUCAUCGAAUCUUUGAACGCACAUUGCGCCCCUUGGUAUUCCAUGGGGCAUGCCUGUUCGAGCGUCAUUUGUACCUUCAAGCUUUGCUUGGUGUUGGGUGUUUGUCUCGCCUUUGCGUGUAGACUCGCCUUAAAAUAAUUGGCAGCCGGCGUAUUGAUUUCGGAGCGCAGUACAUCUCGCGCUUUGCACUCAUAACGACAGCGUCCAAAAGUACAUUUUACACUCUUGACCUCGGAUCAGGUAGGGAUACCCACUGAACUUAAGCAUAUCAAUAAGCGGAGGA